rnacentral:rRNA from 1 species
CAGUCGCCGCGGUAAUACGAAGGGGGCUAGCGUUGUUCGGAAUUACUGGGCGUAAAGCGCACGUAGGCGGAUAUUUAAGUCAGGGGUGAAAUCCCGCAGCUCAACUGCGGAACUGCCUUUGAUACUGGGUAUCUUGAGUAUGGAAGAGGUUAAUGGAAUUGCGAGUGUAGAGGUGAAAUUCGUAGAUAUUCGCAGGAACACCAGUGGCGAAGGCGGCUAACUGGUCCAUAACUGACGCUGAGGUGCGAAAGCGUGGGGAGCAAACAGGAUUAGAUACCCCGGUAGUCCCUGUCUCUUAUAC